GGUACAAACUUGGAGGUAGAUUCAGGCCCAAGGGGUGGCCACAGAGGCACAUGGAGGCACGGCCCAGGCUGGGGUAUAAUUCCCUCAGACCUGGCACUAAUUGCAAAGCCGGGCUGGGGAAAGGGCUCCACUCCAUGACCUGGGGAAGGAGCCUCUCCAGUGUGCUCCAAGUGCCACGUAGUAAAGUCCUGGCUGGAAGUUUUCCCUGAAGAAAAGUGAUGAUGAAAUCCCACUUUAUUUUCUAAGUGCAAAGAUUUCACAGGCUUGCCUCAACUGCAGAGCAGAAACACUGGUAGGAAACUACAAAUCAGUAGUUUAUUUAAAGAAAAGAGACAACCCAAUCCUUAACAAAAAUAAAUGAGGGGCAUGAGGGAAAA